UGGGUUGUAGCUUGGUGGUAGAGGGCUCGCCUAGCAUGUGCGAGGCACUGGGUUUGAUCCUCAGCACCACAU
rnacentral:tRNA from 1 species